ACCCUUUAACGUUUGAUGUUCUAACCCGGGUCCAUAAUCUGGAUCGGGGACCGUGUCUGGUGGGUAGUUUGACUGGGGCGGUCUCCUCCCAAAGAGUAACGGAGGAGCACGAAGGUUGGCUAAGCAUGGUCGGACAUCAUGCGGUUAGUGCAAAGGCAUAAGCCAGCUUGACUGCGAGAGUGACGGCUCGAGCAGGUACGAAAGUAGGUCUUAGUGAUCCGGUGGUUCUGAAUGGAAGGGCCAUCGCUCAACGGAUAAAAGGUACUCCGGGGAUAACAGGCUGAUACCGCCCAAGAGUUCAUAUCGACGGCGGUGUUUGGCACCUCGAUGUCGGCUCAUCACAUCCUGGGGCUGAAGUAGGUCCCAAGGGUAUGGCUGUUCGCCAUUUAAAGUGGUACGCGAGCUGGGUUUAGAACGUCGUGAGACAGUUCGGUCCCUAUCUGCCGUGGGCGCUGGAAGAUUGAGAGGGGUUGCUCCUAGUACGAGAGGACCGGAGUGAACGCACCACUGGUGUACGGGUUGUGAUGCCAAUUGCAUUGCCCGGUAGCUAAGUGCGGAAGAGAUAACCGCUGAAAGCAUCUAAGCGGGAAACUUGCCUCGAGAUGAGUCUUCCCUGACCCUUUAAGGGUCCUGAAGGAACGUUUGAGACUAAGACGUUGAUAGGCUGGGUGUGUAAGCGCAGCGAUGCGUUGAGCUGACCAGUACUAAUGAACCGAGAGGCUUAACCUG
rnacentral:rRNA from 1 species